rnacentral:rRNA from 1 species
CGCCUGGUAGCGGGGGAGUAACUAUUGGAAACGAUAGCUAAUACCGCAUAACAUUGAUUAUUGCAUGAUAAUUGAUUGAAAGAUGCAACUGCAUCACUACCAGAUGGACCUGCGUUGUAUUAGCUAGUGGGUGAGGUAACGGCUCACCUAGGCGACGAUACAUAGCCGACCUGAGAGGGUGAUCGGCCACACUGGGACUGAGACACGGCCCAG